UGUGUAUGAUUGCGCGGGCAGCGCGGUGCGUUUGUAGUUCACAAGUAGGUAGUCGGUUAUGUGGUCUUCUUGGGCGGCUUUCUGUGACGUUAAAGUUACAAUUGACUGUUUGAAAUGAACAAUGUCAUAAACAAAAUAGAUUCAGAGCUGUGCAACGGAGAUUGUACGAUGGUAAAACAGCCACAAUCCAGUAAGGAAGAGUUUUUUUCACAACGAGGAAAUUUUUUGCGACGUGAAGGAGGAGUGGGGCGCCAUUGAAGGAUUGGAGCAGCACUGAACACAUUUCAUAAUCAAGAAGACCCAGCCAGCCACCUCUUCACCUGAGGGAGAAACUGCCCAGCCCUGUCUUCCCCCAGUCAAAUAACCAUUCCAUGUGGCAGCAGCAUGUGGGUGGACAAGUUCCAGGUGCCUUGGGAAAAAAUAAGGCCCCUUUCUUAAAAGAGCCAUUGAUGCUGGAUGUUGGAGACAUACCAGGAAGAUGCAGUGGCUCUGGUAGCAGUGGUCAAUGAGGAGCAAGAGCCUGCAGGAAUCACCUUUUUCAAACUCACCACGUCAUUCAUACUCAACCAUCAGGUUUUAAUGUGUCACAGACCUUGGAUAGAUAUUCUGAUGAUUUUGUUUGGCGUUAUUUAUGUUUUCCAAUUAAGCUACCUUAAAAAGCUUAGUGUUUUUUUUUUUUAACUUCAUCCAGAGGUUUUGUAGUAUAAAGUCAGAAGAGCCCAAAAAAUGACUUUGGGCUUGCAUGCUGUACUGGAUACAAAUGGAUUUAUUAAGAUUGCCCUAAAUGUUCCAUAUAUUGUACAGUGUGCUAUGGCCAUUCAGUGUAUGGUGUUUAAAUAGUUAUAAUACAAACCAUUUAUUUAUUUAUAUGUUAAAAUGUUCUGCUUGGGUUUUGUUUGGAUCACAUUCCUGUCUUUUUCCCUGCAUGGAUUUUCAUCUAUUUUGUAUACCAAGUAACUCCAGCGCACACAGAUACACAAACUUGGCUCUAGAAAGUCAUAAAAUAUAAAAUUGAAUCAAGAAAGUGAGGAAGUCUUUUAAUUGUACAUGGAUGUUCACUGUAUGGAAUACCACCAUUUUGUAUUAGCCUCUCAUAUCUCUUA